CUACGGGUUGCUCCAGUGAGGAAUAUUGCACAAUGGGGGGAACCCUGAUGCAGCAACGCCGCGUGGAGGAUGACGCAUUUCGGUGUGUAAACUCCUUUUAUAUGUCAAGAAAAUGACGGUAGCAUAUGAAUAAGCACCGGCUAACUCCGUGCCAGCAGCCGCGGUAAUACGGAGGGUGCAAGCGUUACUCGGAAUCACUGGGCGUAAAGGACGCGUAGGCGGGUUGGAAAGUCAGGUGUGAAAUCCUACAGCUUAACUGUAGAACUGCACUUGAAACUUCUAAUCUAGAGUAUGGGAGGGGGAGAUGGAAUUAGUGGUGUAGGGGUAAGAUCCGUAGAUAUCACUAGGAAUACCUAAAGCGAAGGCGAUCUCCUGGAACAUUACUGACGUUAAGGCGUGAAAGCGUGGGGAGCAAACAGGAUUAGAUACCCGUGUAGUC
rnacentral:rRNA from 1 species